UAUGGUAAUGAGGCAUAUGAGCGGACGGUAGUGACACCCUUAUGAUUGGGGGUGGUGCCGGUGACAGUAUAUCAAGCGUUGACACUUGCAAUCUCUUUUGCGGGUUUAAUUGUUAUGAUUCUGUCAUUCAAUAAAAGAAAAUGAUCCGCUUCAUAUGCCAUUGCAGUGGCUGAAGUGGAUCGUUUUUUGUGUUCGAAUGAUUUACUCUGCACUACUGUUCGCUUAAUGCGGAAGUUACCAUACUUGCCAUCGGUGUUCCAGCACCGAUG
rnacentral:sRNA from 1 species